rnacentral:RNase_P_RNA from 1 species
UGCAGCAAGGCCAAAUAGGCUGGUAUUGACGUGGCUCGCGUUGCCAGCGGGUAGGUUGCUUGAGCGCAUGAGUAAUUGUGCGCCUAGAUGAAUGACUGUCACGCAUAGCAAUAUGCGACAGAACCCGGCUUAUCGGCCAGCUUCACUA